rnacentral:rRNA from 1 species
GAUGAACGCUGGCGGCGUGCCUAAUACAUGCAAGUCGAGCGAACAGACGAGGAGCUUGCUCCUUUGACGUUAGCGGCGGACGGGUGAGUAACACGUGGGUAACCUACCUAUAAGACUGGGAUAACUUCGGGAAACCGGAGCUAAUACCGGAUAAUAUUUCGAACCGCAUGGUUCGAUAGUGAAAGAUGGCUUUGCUAUCACUUAUAGAUGGACCUGCGCCGUAUUAGCUAGUUGGUAAGGUAACGGCUUACCAAGGCAACGAUACGUAGCCGACCUGAGAGGGUGAUCGGCCACACUGGAACUGAGACACGGUCCAGACUCCUAUGGGAGGCAGCAGUAGGGAAUCUUCCGCAAUGGGCGAAAGCCUGACGGAGCAACGCCGCGUGAGUGAUGAAGGUCUUCGGAUCGUAAAACUCUGUUAUUAGGGAAGAACAAACGUGUAAGUAACUGUGCACGUCUUGACGGUACCUAAUCAGAAAGCCACGGCUAACUACGUG